rfam:Aedes albopictus isolate Foshan contig42832, whole genome shotgun sequence.
GGGCCCGUGGCGUAGUGGUCCACACGUUCGCUUUAUAAGCGGAUGGUCAUGGGUUCGAUCCCAUCCCCG